GGAGGGGACAGCUCAGUGGUAGAAUGCAAGCUUAGCAUGCAUGAGGUCCUGGGUUUAAUCCCCAGUACCUCCA
rnacentral:tRNA from 1 species